rnacentral:rRNA from 1 species
CCUACGGGUGGCUGCAGUGGGGAAUAUUGGACAAUGGGGGCAACCCUGAUCCAGCCAUGCCGCGUGUGUGAAGAAGGCCCUCGGGUUGUAAAGCACUUUCAGUGAGGAAGAACGCCUGGUGGUUAAUACCCAUCAGGAAAGACAUCACUCACAGAAGAAGCACCGGCUAACUCCGUGCCAGCAGCCGCGGUAAUACGGAGGGUGCGAGCGUUAAUCGGAAUUACUGGGCGUAAAGCGCGCGUAGGUGGCUUGAUAAGCCGGUUGUGAAAGCCCCGGGCUCAACCUGGGAACGGCAUCCGGAACUGUCAAGCUAGAGUGCAGGAGAGGAAGGUAGAAUUCCCGGUGGAGCGGUGAAAUGCGUAGAGAUCGGGAGGAAUACCAGUGGCGAAGGCGGCCUUCUGGACUGACACUGACACUGAGGUGCGAAAGCGUGGGUAGCAAACAGGAUUAGAUACCCCAGUAGUC